rfam:Enterobacter cloacae SCF1, complete genome.
UAACGAUCUCGUUAUGGCGAGGCUCCUGUACAAAUAUAAGUUACCGCCCUGAUGGUAUCGAGAGAGACCACACAGGGAAAUACAGGCAUCCAUCGAAUCAAGGUGUUGCCAAGGUAACUUCUGACGGCGUAACCCGCCGUGAGAUACGUUGUACAGUGCUAAAACCAGGACGUAGGGAUCCGCU